UGGGCUGGUCUGGUCUGCUCGUGGUUCCUAUCGUCUCGUCCUGUUGCCCUUCGCAGCUCCGCCGCGACGGCGGCAGCGGCGCAGCAGCCGUGGAGUUCUGGAUCGCCGACAGCGCCGUGAUCCCCGUGGAGAAGGCGACCGGCAAGGCGUGCCAGGGCUGCGCGCCAUCCCCAGCGACGAGCGAGUUGGCAUUUCAGGCCGUGGUGGGCUAGAUCGCCGACCGCGCCGUGCUCCCCAUGGAGAACUCGCUGGGCGGCAGGCCGGCAGCAUCCACCACAACCCUCAGCAGAGAGGACUCUAGGUACUCAGAUCCGCUAGAGGUUUCAGUGGAAGGACGACUGACGGAUGAUCUAUUGGAGUAGCAAGGCUGCUGUUGUUUGCUGUGAACCACUUGUCUUAUGAACUUGUCGGUUUAUUUCAGUGUCAUGUGAACUUCAUAUGUACUUAAUGGAACUAGUCUUGCAUUUGUUAGUUUAUUUGAGUGUCGUGUGAACCACAACACGGUUUGAGAAUUUUCUGUUGUUUGCUGUUGUACCGACACAUAAACUUAUUUGAGUUAUACCUGGUAUAAGCCUGGAACCA